rnacentral:rRNA from 1 species
GGGAGCUUGCUCCUGGAUUCAGCGGCGGACGGGUGAGUAAUGCCUAGGAAUCUGCCUGGUAGUGGGGGAUAACGUCCGGAAACGGGCGCUAAUACCGCAUACGUCCUGAGGGAGAAAGUGGGGGAUCUUCGGACCUCACGCUAUCAGAUGAGCCUAGGUCGGAUUAGCUAGUUGGUGGGGUAAAGGCCUACCAAGGCGACGAUCCGUAACUGGUCUGAGAGGAUGAUCAGUCACACUGGAACUGAGACACGGUCCAGACUCCUACGGGAGGCAGCAGUGGGGAAUAUUGGACAAUGGGCGAAAGCCUGAUCCAGCCAUGCCGCGUGUGUGAAGAAGGUCUUCGGAUUGUAAAGCACUUUAAGUUGGGAGGAAGGGCAGUAAGUUAAUACCUUGCUGUUUUGACGUUACCAACAGAAUAAGCACCGGCUAACUUCGUGCCAGCAGCCGCGGUAAUACGAAGGGUGCAAGCGUUAAUCGGAAUUACUGGGCGUAAAGCGCGCGUAGGUGGUUCAGCAAGUUGGAUGUGAAAUCCCC